AACGUAACGUUGAUGGGAAGCAUAGUAAUCUUAUUGUCACUGUUUUAGAGAGCUGAUGGUUGGUGGAAAUCAGUACAUACAAAAAAGAUGAAUUUCGGUCCCUGAGUUUUAAUUUCGACCUAUUGGAAGGGAUUAACGGAUUGUCCCGAUAAAGACUUCAGAGCCGGAGGAUCGAUUUUAUUCUCAACUAGGGUGGUACCGCGAUGAAAAGUCGCCCCUAUA
rnacentral:ncRNA from 1 species